rnacentral:misc_RNA from 1 species
GAUGAAGACGCAGUGAAAUGCGAUAAGUAAUGCGAAUUGCAGAAUUCCGUGAGUCAUCGAAUCUUUGAACGCACAUUGCGCCCUCUGGUAUUCCGGAGGGCAUGCCUGUCUGAGCGUCAUUGUCAACCCUCAAGCUCAGCUUGCUGUUGGGUCCCCGUCGUUGCUUUAACGGCGGACCCGAAAGGUAAUGGCAGAGUCCGUGAGACCCUAGACGCAGCGAGCUUCUAGCACGCGUCUGGACGUUUUUCGGGCUCGGUCUUAACUAGAUGAUAACUUCCGAUUGACCUCAGAUCAGGUAGGGAUACCCGCUGAACUUAAGCAUAUCAAUAAGCGGAGGA